AUUGGUCUGGUUGUAAGAGAGAAAUAUUAAAGAGUGGUUUGUAUGGAAGAAAGAAGCUAAAGUUUGUGCAUAAGUAACAGAGAAUUUAUCAAGCUAGAGGCUCAAGUAGAUUGAUUUGGCAUCAACUUCUAGAGUAGUGAAGGU